AUUGAACGCUGGCGGCAGGCCUAACACAUGCAAGUCGAACGAGUGGCGGACGGGUGAGUAAUGUCUGGGAAACUGCCUGACGGAGGGGGAUAACUACUGGAAACGGUAGCUAAUACCGCAUAACAUCAGAUGUGCCCAGAUGGGAUUAGCUUGUUGGUGGGGUAACGGCUCACAAAGGCGACGAUCCCUAGCUGGUCUGAGAGGAUGACCAGCCAGACUGGAACGGAGACACGGUCCAGACUCCUACGGGAGGCAGAAGUGGGGAAUAUUGGACAAGGGGCGCAAGCCUGAUGAAGCCAUGCCGCGUGUAUGAAGAAGGCCUUCGGGUUGUAAAGUACUGUCGGCGGGGAGGCGUUACCCGCAGAAGAAGCACCGGCUAACUCCGUGCCAGCAGCCGCGGUAAUUC
rnacentral:rRNA from 1 species